rnacentral:rRNA from 1 species
UGACGGUACCUCUUGAAUAAGCUCCGGCUAACUACGUGCCAGCAGCCGCGGUAAUACGUAGGGAGCAAGCGUUAUCCGGAUUUACUGGGUGUAAAGGGAGCGUAGACGGCAUGGCAAGUCUGAAGUGAAAGCCUGGGGCUCAACCCCGGAACUGCUUUGGAAACUGUUAAGCUAGAGUGCAGGAGAGGUAAGUGGAAUUCCUAGUGUAGCGGUGAAAUGCGUAGAUAUUAGGAGGAACACCAGUGGCGAAGGCGGCUUACUGGACUGUAACUGACGUUGAGGCUCGAAAGCGUGGGGAGCAAACAGGAUUAGAUACCCUG